rnacentral:rRNA from 1 species
UACGUAGGGGGCUAGCGUUGUCCGGAUUUAUUGGGCGUAAAGAGCGUGUAGGCGGCCAGGUAGGUCUGCUGUGAAAACUCGAGGCUCAACCUCGAGAUGUCGGCGGAAACCAUCUGGCUAGAGUCCGGAAGAGGAGAGUGGAAUUCCUGGUGUAGCGGUGAAAUGCGUAGAUAUAGGAAGGAAUACCAGUGGCGAAGGCGGCCUCCUGGAUCGACACUGACGCUAAGGCGCGAAAGCGUGGGGAGCAAACAGG